GAAAUGCGAUAAGUAAUGUGAAUUGCAGAAUUCAGUGAAUCAUCGAAUCUUUGAACGCACCUUGCGCUCCUUGGUAUUCGUUGGAGCAUGCCUGUUUGAGUAUCAUGAAAUCUUCAAAGUAAAUCUUUUGUUAACUCAAUUGGUUUCUACUUUGGUAUUGGAGGUCUUUGCAGCUUCACACCUGCUCCCCUUUGUUCAUUAGCUGGAUCUCAGUGUUAUGCUUGGUUCCACUCGGCGUGAUAAGUUAUCUAUCGCUGAGGACACUGUAAAAGGUGGCCAAGGUAAAUGCAGAUGAACCGCUUCUAAUAGUCCAUUGACUUGGACAAUACUUUUAUGAUCUGAUCUCAAAUCAGGUAGGACUACCCGCUGAACUUAAGC
rnacentral:misc_RNA from 1 species